GCAAGAUUUUUCAGAGGAAAUGCUGAUGGACUCGUUCGAGGAGUUGAGAGUGACGGCUGUAAACAAUCAACAGCAAGCAACCACUGUGCCAAGACACCAAACACUAAGAACUAUACAUUCUUCAUUUUGAAUUCUUCUUUAUUGUGAUUCAGUGGGAAUGACGGUAAUGAAGCCGAGAACGCUCUUUACCUGUUGUCAUUAAUGCUCUGAUGCAUUCGCCAUGGCCUUGGAUUGAAGACUCCGUGAGUGCCGUAAAUCCAAAGACAUUCCCUGUUUCAGUAUGAAAACCAGGGUAGUAGUUGACUAAAUAAUUUGUAAUGGUAAUAUGUCCUAAAAAUACAUUUCCAAAAUGUAUAAAUUUCAAA
rnacentral:lncRNA from 11 species